rnacentral:rRNA from 1 species
UACGUAGGGGGCAAGCGUUGUCCGGAAUCAUUGGGCGUAAAGAGCGUGUAGGCGGCCCGGUAAAGUCCGCUGUAAAAGUCAAAGGCUCAACCUUUGAAUGUCAGUGGAUACUGCCGGGCUAGAGUCCGGAAGAGGAGAGUGGAAUUCCUGGUGUAGCGGUGAAAUGCGCAGAUAUCAGGAAGAACACCCGUGGCGAAGGCGGCUCUCUGGUACGUGACUGACGCUGAGACGCGAAAAGCGUGGGGAGCAAACAGG